rnacentral:rRNA from 1 species
GAUGAACGCUGGCGGCGUGCCUAAUACAUGCAAGUCGAGCGAACAGACGAGGAGCUUGCUCCUCUGACGUUAGCGGCGGACGGGUGAGUAACACGUGGAUAACCUACCUAUAAGACUGGGAUAACUUCGGGAAACCGGAGCUAAUACCGGAUAAUAUAUUGAACCGCAUGGUUCAAUAGUGAAAGACGGUUUUGCUGUCACUAAUAGAUGGAACCACGCCGCAUUAGCUAGUUGGUACGGUAACGGCUUACCAAGGCAACGAUGCGUAGCCGACCUGAGAGGGUGAUCGGCCACACUGGAACUGAGACACGGUCCAGACUCCUACGGGAGGCAGCAGUGGGGAAUCUUGCGCAAUGGGCGAAAGCUUGACGGAGCAACGCCGCGUGAGGGAUGAAGGCCUUCGGAUCGUAAACCGCUGUUAUUAGGGAAGAACAAAUGUGUAAGUAACUAUGCACGUCUUGACGGUACCUAAUCAGAAAGCAACGGCUAACUACGUG